AAUAAGAAGGGGAGAUAAGGCCUAGAGAUUGAAUUGUGGCCUAAAACAAGUCUUCUAUUCAAGUGAUACUAAAUAUUGGCACCAUCUGAGCCAGAAAGGUUUGCACAAUGGAAGCUAACCCUGAGCUGAUAGAACCAUUUUCUUUGAGGGGUUGACUGAGCCUUUGAGAUGUACAGAGUGGUGGAAAUGUUUGGGUUGUCAGAAAUAGGGAGCAGGGGGAAGGAGAAGGACUCAAGACUGAAUUUGCUCUUUGCCAAAGGAAACUGAUUUUACAAGAUAUGAAGGAACUUCUAAAAGAGACAUCUGACAAUACAAGCCUUUUUACACUGAACAAACCUGAUUUACCUCCCCCCUGCAUAAAGCACC